AUUUUGUAUUUCCUUAUCCCAUAUAAAAUUUGGUUACUUCUGAAUAUUAUUAUAUUAUAGGUCAUAAUAGUAAUGUUUUAACCAAAAUAAAUCGUGUCAAUUAAAUUGGUGUAUUCAAAAUGGAAUUUUAAGAGAUUUGAGUUUUAUUGAGUUUUAAAAUGAUUUUGAUGAUUUUAGGGAAGUUCAUAUGACUUUUGUAAAAUACUUUCAAAUCUCACCAAAAACCAUGGGAUUUGGAUUUCUGUAUUUUUAACUAA
rnacentral:lncRNA from 1 species